CUUGGUCAGCUUGCUUGGGCAAGAAAAUGUUGUCGCGACAAUGGUUUAUUGUUUGUGUCAACUGACGUUUCUUGUCUCGGCUCGUAUGUGCUAUGUGCUUUGCUUGUUUGGUUAGCGUCGUAGCUUGUGUACUACAUAACUGUUUGAUUACCGUAUGCGGAUGAAGCUGGCUGCGUGGAAAACUGUUUACAUUCACCUGUCGUUGUGUUCCAAAAUCAUAAGGCUUUAAUGUGGAGGGUUAUAGUUAGCCAAUUUCUCUCUUUCACGAGCAGGGAUUUGUUGCUUUGUUGACGCUACAGGGAAGUUUCCUGGUUUAAAGAAAGUUGUGGCUAGAGCUCUAUUGGCAAUAAGGCAUCAGCUACUUCAACAAGCUAUGCAUGAUAGCUGAUAUCAGCCGCAAAUCGUGCGUGUGUAGUUGUCCCAGAGACCGUUUAGUUCUAGUGUGACUGUGCGAUAUUGUACUCUGUAGUAUGUGCAGUAUUUCCGAAGACUGGUUGGUUUAUAUUUUUGUUAAUGCAAAUGAAAUAUGUAAAGUUGUUGUGUGCACUACAGUAGUGAGACAAAAGCCUUUCAUAUAUUUAGGUUGCCUGUAUGUUUUGAAGGUGUGUCUGCAAAGCUCUGUAACGUUUUGUCUUUUUUUUUUUAUCUCUUAUGCUCUGGAUAAGAUGGACGUCUUUCCUCUGACCUGUUACCAAGACAGCUGGAUGUGUAAGAAGCUGGAACUAAGUCACUGAAGAAGUAAACCGAUGAAAACCGAUUUGGAUUGUCUGAGAGAUGACACAAGUAAAAGGAGAAGAAUGCUGCUCAGCUGGGUUGGCGAAGCUCUUGGAUAUCAUCAGCACAUGUAUGAAGCACAGAGUCAUUCCGGUAGGCACAGAGUCGUUCCUCGAUGGACGUGAUGACCUGGGACCAAAACCGCUUAAUGUGUAUGAGGCUGUGUCUGCAUCGAGGGAAGAACCCAGCACUGAAAUGACACAAAUGAAAGAAGAGUACUUCUGCUCUGCUGGGUCUGCGACACUACUUAUCCGAGGAGUCCUCAAACAUCAGGAUGUAGGAAGACACAAGUAAAAGGAGAAGAAUGCUGCUCAGCUGGGUCGGCGGUCACACUACUUAUUCAAGAAGCUCUUGGAUAUCAUCGGCAUGUAUAAAGCACGGAGUCGUUCCUCGAUGGACGUGAUGACCUGGCACCAAAACCGCUUAAUGUGUAUGAAGCUGUGUCUGCAUCGAGGGAAGAACCCAGCACUGAAAUGACACAAAUGAAAGAGGACGUCUUCUCUGCUGGGUCUGCGACACUACUUAUCCUAGGAAUCCUCAAACAUCAGGAUGUUGGAAACUUAUGGUGAGAUGCCAAGAGCCGCCAUGAGGGAUAUGCAACCUGCAGCUUCACCAUGCUUUUGGGAGAUCAUGUACUACGUGAACCUUGAGUAUCUACAAGCCAGCUACUUUAAGUUCUUGAAAGGGUAGUGAUGUCAUUCAAGCCAGAUCACGAGACAAGGUCCUGUACAAACUGUCAAUCUAAAUGUUGCGACAUCCCUGUCAGUUCUUUUGGACUGAAUACAUGCUGUGUUUGAAAUAUAUUAUUCGGAUAACUCCCCAUCAGGGAAUACCUUGUCUGUUAAUGACAGAUGGACAUGCCAUUGACAUGCCGUGCACACUUUGAUGUUUUUUAUUUUAAUGUUUUCUAUGUUUUCCAAUGUUCUUUUUUUAUUUAUGUUCUGUUAUAUGCUGUUUUUGUAAGUACUGUAUGGAAUAUAGUGACUGUAGAGACCAAGACAAAUUUCAACCUGGGGACAAAAAGUUCACACCACUCUGUUAGCGCAGUUAUGGAUGCACUGUAAAUUUUGUAAUUAACCAAAAGUACGGUGAGAAGCCUGUUUGUGCAGAUGGACCUGCUGGCGGGCCUGUUUACUCAUAGCUAAAAAGCAACAUAUUAUCUGUGCAAAAGCACAUGGGCUCUUCGAAAAGGGGUUAAACAUUUUAAUGUGCUGUUUUACAGUGUGCUAUACAAAAGGUAAGGUGAAACUAUUUUUUUGAAAUUCUAUAAUUGUACAGUGUCACUGAAAUCAAAUGGUGCAUUGGUAAAACUGAACCAUUUCCUUUAAUCCCGUUUAGCAGAGCCUAUGUUUGAUCUAUACUGUCACCAGUGAUGCGCGGGUCGACGAAAAAACAAGACACACCCGACCGCUUUUUUCCCUAGUCCGCCCGCUUGCCCUGCCCGCAAGAAAUAUUCAUGAAAAAUAUUGACCCGGCCCGCUUCCCGACCCGCCUUUGAAAAUAGUAGCCAUGCGUCUUUAUGAACACCCUAGUGUCAUUGGCAAAGCGCAAUCACGUCAAUAAAGGUCUCAGCAUGGUUCACUUCCGAGGGGUCUGGAUACACUUCACAUCACAGAAAAUGCUGAGCUGCAUGUAUAAGUUCGCUUAAAUAGUUGAUAGGGAACAGGUAGGCUAUGAAAACACCCAUAGUGGCAAUGUAGCCUACAACACUUUGUCUUCUUUUGGUUUGGUAGGCUACUACUCUGCUCUGUCCUUUACCUGAACUGAAAUUGGUUUCGCUUUUUCCUAUCCCUCCUUCACCAGAGACCAAGCGGUUAAUUUGGGAGUUUAGGAAAGAUAAUCGCGUCACGUGUGUGCACAAACCACAAACGCAACCUGCGCCGCCUGGUGCCACUAUAGGCAACGCUUGUCUUUCUAGCGCAAAUGAUCAUUUAGCCCACACAAAGCGUGAACUUUCGUAAUCUUAGAUGACUGCAAUGUAAAGAUCCAUACAUGAUCACGUAGGCUGCAGAACCCUUCUCAACUGAUUGACAGUUGCACUCACGAUGCUACAACGCGACAUGCCCUGUCCAACAAAAAGUAGUCUAUGUUGAAUAGGCUAGAUACAAUUUUCUCACAAAUUAUUAUUUUCUAAUAUGAGCAUUUCGAUCAUAAUAUGUUUGUCUGUUACCCAGACUACCAAGUUUGCUUUUCAUACAAUGCUAUUUUAUUAUUUAGGCUAUUUAUUUCUUUUAAGUGGCGAUCGGCAUUGUUCUUCCACUGUAGGCUAAAUUACUCAAAUGAGCACUGCAUUCAAAGGGAAUAGGCUAAUAAUUUGGACAUUGUAGGCUAUAGGCUAGCCUAUUCUAUUUCGACAAUGUAGGCAUAGCCACUCGAAUCCCUACCUGUGGAGGAAAUUAAUCUGUAGCCUAUGUUGGUGAGCAGACGGAGCCAGCCGUCAAGUGGAUUGCCUAUAGUCGUGGUAUGACACAGGAAAUGAAAACAAACUCUGUAAGCAACACAUGAGUGCGAAACCAUUACACUUGUAUAAGAAAAUAUGUAGGCUAUAUCCAUCACUGCACUGUUUAGAGAGCACCCUCUGUGUUCUUCAAAAUGCACUCAAUGGUUGCACCUGCUGCACCAGUUGCGCGCAGAAGAUAUUCGGCCGACGCAUGAGCCAUUAAGUCUCCUGCAGAGCGCGUGGCACCAUCAUAGUUAUUCAGCCAUAUAAACUUUGAUCUAUUUAGCAAAAAAUGUCCCUGUCUGCUAAAGUAAACUAUAGCCUAUUGGCUAUAGCCUACUUUAAAAUUCGGCAUCAUUUCAAAGGUCCUGACCGACCGCACCCGACCCGAAUUUCAUUAAAAAUAAUAUUUCAUAACCCGUGCCUGCGGUCGACCGCAGUUAACUGCAAGCGCCCGCUGAUUUCGGGUCAGCCCGCGCAUCACUGACUGUCACCAAUAUUGUAAUGACUGAGUUUUAACCUGUUACUCUUGGUAAUGUCAUAGCAAUGUUGCUAUGAUGUAGUUGAGUCUUUUCAGUCAUGAGUGAUCAGUCUUGCUGAUAACCCGUCUUUGCUAUCAUGUGUUAAUGCUACACUGCUGUGAUUUGCAUCUUUAUAGUAUACUUUUAUGAAAUGUAUUGUUAAUUAUCUUCAUUGUUCAGCAAUAAAA